ACUACUGAAUGAGAAAUCUGUUUUUAUUUUACUUCUUUCAUUUCUUUCCUUAUCUUCUUCUAACUCUAAGGGUUACUACCCUAUCACGCAACCGCUCCAUUCUCAACUCCUCCACCCACGAACUCUAGUGUGGGAGAGGAAGCUUGAGACUUGUCCCAUGCCGGAAAUGAUAUUUGGGGACAGUUGUCUGGUUCUGAAGCAUGUGAAAAAGUGGUUGCCACCGGUUGAAGUCCCAGCUGCUGCUCUCUGGAAGUUCAGAUGGUAACCUACUCAAUUUCAUGGGUUUAUUUUGUGAUUUUCGAUCGGAUGAGAUGGUGCUAACCCCUUUCGAUUUGGAGGCUUUAGGAUCAACUUCAGAGUAUUCUCCAAAAGAAUGUUGAUAUCUUUGAUUGAAAUUAGAAAUGAUUUAAACCCUCCAAAUCAAUGUUGAUAUACUUAAUUGAAAUUAGAAAUGAGAAUUUUACUGGCUCUAGUUGACAGGAUAGAGCUGUAUUUUGACUUAUAAAGCUCCCUCAAAUAAUUAUUUUAUUUAAACUCCGUAAGAGGUGUCCUUAAAUCGAUAUGAGAUGUAGAUUUUGGGUGGGAAAUUACGGCUAUUGUAUUUCUAUUUGAUAACUUGCUUGUGGGAUAGGAUUAGUUGUCUGUAUUGAUGCUGGCUUGCCUGAAGUAGUUGUGGGAUAUGUGUCAGUGUGUGUGUUUAAAUGGUUGAGAAUAGCUUGCCUGAAGUAGGAUCACACCAUAAUUGGUUGACAAGACUUCUCUUAUAAAUUUGAGCGAGUGAUUACUACUUUUUUAGAAAGGGAAUGUCUGUAGCAUACUAAAAUCCGAAGCAAAGAAGAAUAUGGUUGGGAUUCAAAGUCAGUUGUUAGAGGGGCAAGCGGAACCGUGGAAGGAUGUCUCAGCCAGUAUGGAUUCUUUUCCUAGUGUUAUCAGCUGAUUGUUAGUAACAGAGAAAAAGUGAGGUUUUGGAAGAAUAUUUGGAUUGGGGAUCAAUCCUUGAAGCUGCGCUUUGCAAGACUUUUGAGAUUAUCAGAUUUCAAAAUGCAAAACUAAAUAAGUUUACCACUGUGAUCUCUUAUCCUAUGAGUUGGGAUUUCGGUUUUUGAAGAAACCUAAGAAAUGAGGAGAUACAAGAGGUAAUUUUAGUGCUGGAACUCAUAGAUGGAGUUUGAUUGGUGGAAACCAAGUUACAUGUUAAAAGGUGGAAACUGGAGUCUUGAAGAGAAUUUUCAUGCAAAUAUUGUUAUCUCAUUGAUAGCAAUAUGCUGACCCUUUAUUUUCUCCUAUGAGAUCAGUCUGGAAGGCUAAGGUUUCCCCCAAUAUUUAGCUGGCUUCUGGUGCAUGAGAGGGUGAACUCAUGUGAUUGGUUGAAGACAGCCAAGUUGUUAUUUUUCUACCUAGUGGUGUGUCAUGUGUAAGCUUCAUGGAGAAAGUGCAAAGUUGUGGCAGAAUCGGCUUAGGGAGGCUGGGGCUGAGUUGGGCGACUCCAUCUGGGUGCCUUGCUUCGUUAAGUGAGAUUCACAAUGGUUUUGGCAAAGGGAGAAAAGCUAAAGAUCUUUGGGGUUGCAUGGUUUUGGCUGUAACUUAGGUGAUUUGGAUGGAAAGGAAUAAAAGGAUCUACGAUGACCAUAAUGGAAUGCGAGUUGAGGACCUUUGGGUGAAGGUUAGAUUCCCAUCAGCUUUAUGGGCUUCAGUUUCGGUUGGGUUUAAAGACUACUUUCUCCUCCAUUUUUCUAGAUUGGAUCACAGGAACAACAUAGUUGGAUUUAUUUUGGUUUUGUGUGGCAGCACAAAGAAGGUGAGAUAUCUAAGGAGAACUGCAAUCUCCACUGGGAGGACUGCAAAGAAAAAAUUGAUUUGGUUGCAUUAGCAUCUAAAGAGCCUAUUCUCUUUUAUGAUGAGGUAGUCUUGUAUGAAGAUGAAUUGGCGGAUAAUGGUGUGUCUCUUCUAACUGUAAAAGUGAGUCAUGCCGAGCGGUUGGUUUCUUCUCUUACGAUUUUGGCUUAGAGUUGAUGGAGUGCUUAUGAGAUGAAGGGAUACCCGUAUGCACUGUGCUUUUGGAGAUAAUGUAAAUCCCAUUAUUCUUCGAGAGAGCUGCUGGAGAGAAGCUAGGUUUCAAGCUUUGGCUGCAAAGGGAUACCCUUCUGACGCUGCUGCCUACAAUGAUCCAAGUAUCAUCAGCCAAAGGCUUCCUGUGGUCAUGAAUACGACCCAUAAGCUAAAGGUAUCUAGUAACAUGUAACACUGUAAAUUAUCUUAAUGCACGAGGAUAUAUUUUAAUGUUUUCUCAUUGUGGUGGAUCCUAUUGAAUGUAAAAGUUUCUUUGAACCUUCCUUUA